CCCGCUAACCCGAAACAGAUAUGUUAAUACCCGAACCUGAACGGGUGAAUGUCUAUCUUCACCGAAGGAAAUCGACACUACUAAAGUUAGAUGAUUCACCCGAUUAAAGUUCCAUCAAAUUUGAUGUCUCCGAUAUCAUCCUUGCCGUCUCCGCUUUCAGUUCCGCCUGAGAAAACAACUGUUUUUUAAUCGAUCUCAUCCAGUGGAUCUCUUCCUUGGUACUUUUUCUUUUCCUUCAUUCUUCUCAUUUCUACCCGCGAUCCCUAUUUCUUAUGAAUCUCUAGAUCUUCUGAGCUUAAUCCUAUGACCACCAUAGUUUUGCAGAAGAGAGAAACAAAAAAGAAUGGAAAGCAAUCAAGCAUUGUUAUGGGAUGUGAGAUUAACGCACAUCCAUUGUUAAUUAGAUUGAUGCAGUCUUAUCAUCGGUUCUCUAUGUGUUUCCAUUUAUUGGAUCUCUUAAGUUCUCCGUUGGAGAGAAAGCAAGGUUCCAUUGUUUCCAAUUUCGCCAGUCUGGAUGAAGUUCUGAAACAUCAUUGACCUGAGUCAUGUGAGAUGAAACAGGAGAAAAUGUAAGUUCAUUGGAACCUAUGGAAAAGAUUUUCAAAAGUUUUAAAUAAAAUAGUAACACUUACUGCAGUAUCAGCCAAUACCAUCUCUAGUGUCUCUCCAGUGUGUGUGAGUGAAACCAUCCAUGGCAGCCAUUUCUUCUAUUAAGGUGAAUCUCUGAGCUAUUAUUUUAGGUUUCAUUUGCUUGGUUGUUUAUGCCGUCACUUUGGUUUUUAUAGAUGUUUAGGAUAUGAGUAGUUGUGAUUGUGAAGAGGAUGAUUAGGGAUUGAUUCAAGAUUUUAUGGAAUCAAUUUUAAAUUUUCAGUUAAUUUUUUUAUUUUAUUUUUGGUUUCAAAUGAUAUUGUAGAGGAUGAUUAGGGAUUGCAUUAAAAUUGAUUACGAUUUUAAUUGAUUUUAUUGGACUCGCUGAUUUUUUGGAGAUUAGAUGACGAACAGAAAUGGUUUGGAAAGAAGAAAGUGUUUGGAUACUCAUGUAACGUAUCUAAGAUCCGAACAAACUAAACUCCAAACACAUCGGGUCCGCGUGCUUCUACUCAAGCAGAUUACUUCUUUGCCCUCAAAAUUUUUUUCCUUUGUUCUUUGCUUUUUUAUUUCAUAGGGGCAUUGUAUGGUAUAUUGGUUUUAUUGUUUUUUUUAUUUUUAAGUGUGUUUCCAAUUAAUAGUAUAGAUAAAUGAUAUAUUAAUUAUUCCACAAACAAUAGUUCAAAACUCUACAGUUUCAGACUUUCAGUUCAAGGAUAUAUAGACUACUGUAGACUUUAUAAAUUCGAUUAGUACUGUUUUCACAUGAUUUAUAUCUUGGACAUAUGGUACGCUUUCAUUAAAUAAUUUGCUCGUUAAGUGAAUAUGUAGUGUAUUUCCAUGUUAAUGUGAUUCUACUCAUACAAAUAUAUUUGUUGCGA